UACUGAAGAUCUGGAAACAAUUUCUCUUAUGGUAACUAUACAAACUCUUUGAAAUUACACAGUUCAACCCCCUUACUUUAUAGAUAAUACAUCUAAAACCCUCAGAGGUUAACUUCCUUGUUCAAGUUCAGCAGCUAUUUAUAAGCAGGCUACCCCAUUAUGUAGGUCUGUUGAAGGAGGAGUACUACAUAAUGCUUGCAUUUAUUUCUUAUAGAAAUGACCACAAAUUUACUGGCUUAAAAUACCCAAAAUUUAUUUUCCCAUAGUCUGGAGGCCAGCAAUGUGAAAUCAGUUUCACUGGGCCACAGUCAAGGAGACAGUAAAGCUGUACUCCCUCCAAAAGUUCUCUGGGAGACUCCAAAGCUUGACUCUUCCAGAUUCCGUGGCUGCCAGCAUUCUUGGUUUGUAGCAGCAUCGCUCCAGUCUCUGCUUCUGCAAUCCCACGGCCCCUCCUCUUCUAUCUGUGUCAAAUCUUUCUCUAUCUUUCUCUUAUAGGGACCUCUGUGAUGGCAGUUAGCACCCACCUGGAUAAUCCUGAAUAACCUCUCCCUUUCAGGAUGGUUAAGCACAUCUGCAAAGAGUCCUUUUCCAUGUAAGGAAGAGAAAUGCGGGCCAGGACAGUUGCAGAGGGAAGACAGUGCAAACAUGUGGAGACAAGCAUCCACGAGCCCAGGAGAGAAGCUUUCGGAGGAGACAGCAUUGCUGGCACCUUGGUCUCAGACCUGUAGCUUCCAGAACUGUGAGAAGAAGAUUUCGGCUGGUCAAGGCACCCAGGCUGUGGUACUUUGUAUGCCAGCCCUAGCAGACUCGGACGACAGCAUAUGGCAUUAAGGAGCAGUUACGGUCUACAUUUUUCCACCUUCCACCGGUUUCUGAAACCCAUGUGGCCCGUGUGCCAUGACUCACAUGCGAUGCGCACAUAGGCCUUCCUGCUCUUUGUGGUGCCCGCCGAGCUCCAGGCCACAC